rnacentral:rRNA from 1 species
UCUAUGGGCCAUCCUACCCUGAACGCACCCAACUUCGUCUGAUCUCAGAAGCUAAGCAGGGCCGGGCCUGGUUAGUACUUGGACGGGAGAAAGCUCAAAUAAUGUCAGUGUCCUUUAGGC